GAUGAACGCUGGCGGCGUGCCUAAUACAUGCAAGUCGAGCGAACAGACGAGGAGCUUGCUCCUCUGACGUUAGCGGCGGACGGGUGAGUAACACGUGGAUAACCUACCUAUAAGACUGGGAUAACUUCGGGAAACCGGAGCUAAUACCGGAUAAUAUAUUGAACCGCAUGGUUCAAUAGUGAAAGACGGUUUUGCUGUCACUUAUAGAUGGAUCCGCGCCGCAUUAGCUAGUUGGUAAGGUAACGGCUUACCAAGGCAACGAUGCGUAGCCGACCUGAGAGGGUGAUCGGCCACAAUGGAACUGAGACACGGUCCAGACUCCUACGGGAGGCAGCAGUAGGGAAUCUUCCGCAAUGGGCGAAAGCUUGACGGAGCAACGCCGCGUGAGUGAUGAAGGUCUUCGGAUCGUAAAACUCUGUUAUUAGGGAAGAACAAAUGUGUAAGUAACUAUGCACGUCUUGACGGUACCGAAUCAGAAAGCCACGGCUAACUACGU
rnacentral:rRNA from 1 species